rnacentral:rRNA from 1 species
UUACUGGGCGUAAAGCGCGCGUAGGUGGAUUGUUAAGUCGGAUGUGAAAGCCCUGGGCUCAACCUAGGAACUGCACUCGAUACUGGCAAUCUAGAGUAUAGUAGAGGGAAGUGGAAUUUCAGGUGUAGCGGUGAAAUGCGUAGAUAUCUGAAAGAACACCAGUGGCGAAGGCGGCUUCCUGGACUAAUACUGACACUGAGGUGCGAAAGCGUGGGGAGCAAACAGGAUUAGAGACCCUGGUAGUCCACGCCGUCAACGAUGAGAACUGGCUGUUGGGGGGGUUACCUCUCAGUAGCGAAGCUAACGCGUUAAGUUCUCCGCCUGGGGAGUACGGCCGCAAGGCUAAAACUCAAAGGAAUUGACGGGGGCCCGCACAAGCGGUGGAGCAUGUGGUUUAAUUCGAUGCAACGCGAAGAACCUUACCUACUCUUGACAUCCUUGGAAUCUUUUGGAGACAGAAGAGUGCCUUCGGGAACCAAGUGACAGGUGCUGCACGGCUGUCGUCAGCUCGUGUCGUGAGAUGUUGGGUUAAGUCCCGUAACGAGCGCAACCCUUGUCCUUAGUUGCCAGCGCGUAAUGGCGGGAACUCUAAGGAGACUGCCGGUGAUAAACCGGAGGAAGGUGGGGACGAUGUCAAGUCAUCAUGGCCCUUACGAGUAGGGCUACACACGUGCUACAAUGGGCAGUACAAAGGGUUGCCAAGCCGCGAGGUGGAGCUAAUCCCAUAAAACUGCUCUUAGUCCGGAUUGGAGUCUGCAACUCGACUCCAUGAAGUUGGAAUCGCUAGUAAUCGUGAAUCAGAAUGUCACGGUGAAUACGUUCUCGGGCCUUGUACACACCGCCCGUCAUACCAUGGGAGUGAAUUGUACCAGAAGCGGGUAGGCUAACCUUCGGGAGGCCGCUCACCACGGUAUGGUUCAUGACUAGGGUAAAGUCGUA